UUUCAUAUGUUUACAUGUAACUCGUCUCGGAGACGGGCGUUGUGAAUCUGCGGAAUGUAAACGCGGUAUUUCCCUUCUCCGAGGAAACCGGCACACACUCCCCCAGAGACUAUCCGGGCAUCAUGGCCACCUUUUUACCCAUUUGCAUUGUGUGGAUCACCACCUGUGUGGGCCUCCUCUCUGCAGAACAUGUAUUUGGCAAAGAGAGUUCCACAGUUGUCCUGCCAUGUACACUGAGAGUUGUAGGUGGAACUCCAUAUAUUAGGUGGAGCACCGAUAAGGGUGAUGUGUUUGAGCGAAAGGGCAAGGAGUCAUUUCAGGGUGAUUGAUAUGGGGACCGUGUGAAUGUUCCUGAGACCCGGCUGCUUAAGGGGGACUGUUCCUUGGAGUUGAAGAAUCUUACACUUGCUGAUAAGGGUGUGUACCAGAGCUACCAGGCAGUGAGACGCACAAAAAGAUCUACACGUGUCGAUGAAAAAUGGGAUCUAAUCAGCAGUGUCACAGUCGAUGGUGUGCUGACAGGUGUGAUUCGUGACAGGAAGGGGGUCCUGGAUUACUGGCCAUAAUGCUAACAUAUGGCAGGGGAGUGGAUGCCAGCAUUUCCCAGAAGGAGCAACAAUGACUGAUUUAGCGGGGACCGGUGGAGGCAGAGGGGCAACAACGAGUCAAGUGAAGACCUCAUUUGGACCUCACUUCAUAUGAACAGUUAUGCUAUGAUGACUAGGACUGCAAUUGCUAUUAUAUCCUUAUUGCAAUCACCACAAACAGAUUUGCACUCAAGUCUCCAUCAGUGAACAGUGGAGAAGUUCAACAAAACAGACUUUAUGUGAAACCUGUAAUGAAUUCUCCUGGUUACACAUCUGCACUAUUUGACUAUGUAGUAUUAGCACAUUUAUAGAAGGAAUUUAUUUAUAAUCGCACUAUCUGGUGUCACCCAGAUGAGGACUGGUUCUUUUUUGAGUCUGGUUCUUCUCAAGUUUUCUUCCUCAUAUCGUCUCAGGGAGUUUUUCCUCACCACCAUCGCCUCUGGCUGCUCAUUAUGGAUAAAUUCAUACAUUUAAAUAUCCUGAAUUUAUAUAUUUCUGUAAAGCUGCUUUGGGACAAUGUCCAUUGUUAAAAGCGCUAUACAGAUAAAAUUGAAUUGAAUUGAAGGCAACGCUCUAUGUAGAGUCAGCAGGUUGUGGAGGUUCUGGAGUGACAGAGACAUCAGAGUCAUGAGGAGGAGCAAUGGUGUCCUUGCCGGAGUUGGAUGGCGAGUUACUGCGAGUGAUCAUCUUCCCUUUGAGGAAGCCUGACCAAACUUACCCUCUGCACAGGCUGACUGCCACCCUUAUGCUCUAGGGAUCGUGGAAGCAUGUAGUGUGACCAGUUGUGAAAGCCCUGUGAUUGCAGUGUAACACCUGUGCCAUCUAAAGAAACAAAUCAAAAGUCAGUUCCCACAGGGGAUGCGAGAACAAACUGGCCUCACCCACAGGUCAUGGUCUUGUCCCUCUUCUCUUGUUUUGUCUUCCAGCUUUUCUAUGAGGAAAUGUGAGUGAGAUCUAGAGUUGUGCACAGGAUGGUGUGUUUUAAACAAACAUCCACUGAAAAAAGCUAAGUUUACAAUUUCAUAGAAAAGCUGCUGAAGACCAUUUAUACCACAGAUAUUUGACAAUGCUAGCAAUUUUAUUUGCUAAAAGUUUAUAUACUUUGUGUGGUGAAGGGGCUUAACUCAACUCAGGAUUUUCUCUGUGAGCUUAAUGCUUUUAGUAGGGCCAUCGUUGGUGAACAGAUCUUAGGGGAGGGGUCCGAGAAAGACGCAUCCUAAUGACCCCCAUGAAAUAUACAAAAAAGAUGAAAAGUACCUUGCCUGGGUUAGGUUUACCAGGACCUAGUCCUGGAAUCAGUCUUGAGGGUCAUGACCGCAGGUGAGCAUCUGGUGACUGGACGACCCACUUCACUCGGUCAAGUCCAGCCUGAAAUGGUGAUGUGGAAACAUCUUGUAUUUUCACCACAUGCAAGAGAAAGGGAAGGGGACGGAUUGAAUGCCAAACUAUAAACCAGGAAUUAUUAGUGUGUAUGAUAAUAUAUAGAAAUUGUCAAAUCAUGUAAUGCUUUUGACAUUUUCAUUGGAUUCUGCUGGAUUGCUGGAUCCCAGUCCUGUUUGCACAACUCUAGUGCUUUGCACUCUGUAGGGAACUGAGAGUAGGAUGCUAUUUCAGACACAGAAAAACUUACCAAGUCCCAAAGAGCAUUCCACACUUUACCUAUUUGCACACCAAUGGGUCUAACACAAUCUUUGAAGCGCAAAGGAUGGAAAUGUGUGUGUGUGUGUGUGUGUGUGUGUGUGUGUGUGUGUAUAAAUGUUGUGUACACAACAAAUUGUGAGAUUUCCUGUUACAGAUUUAAUAACAUUUUAAACCCCUGUAUUGUUCAGAUUAUGAUUGGGCCAGGUCUGAAAUUUUAUUUUAAUACCCCUUUUUGUGAAAAAAGACCAAGUAAAGCAAAAAUAAUAGAUUGCUUUGAGAUUAUCAGAAAAGUAGAUGGUAUCAUUUCUGCCCACUUUCUUUAGAAUAUGAACAUCACAAAUCAAAUUGAUUGAUCAGCACUCCAGGAAAGCAAAAUCUGCAAACUCUCACAAGCGUGAAACUCUUCUCUGGCCAUGUUCUGGAAACAAAAUGUAUGUGUGUAUGCUAUAUGAACUACUAUGCUAAUUGUAAUAAAAAUGUUUUCUACAUUGUUGUUGCAGUAUUAAACAGUAAAAGACU